UAAUUUUUUAUAUAUAAUUGAAACCAAAGCAAAUCAAGCAAAAAUAUUUUUGCAAGAUUAUUAGAUUUACUAUCUCUAAAAAGAAAGAUAUAGCAAUAUACGCGGAUUAUACUUUAGACAAAUUUUAGAGGGAUAGAAUUUAUAAUUUAUAAUUGUAGAUGUAGAUUUCGGUCAGGCAGUCUUCGUAUUCAAUUAUAUAAACUCGAAUGAGUGGAUAUUUGUAACAUUUAGAAACUAUUUUUCGCAUAAUUUGCACGAAAAUCUCUUCGAUCUGAUACAUUCCAAUAAUUGUAAUAAAAUGUCACGAACGUUACCAUUUCUAAUUCUACUUUUAUACAAUUUACGUUCUUAUAAAAAGUUUAGACUAUGUUGCAUUGCAAAAUGAACACACACACACACACACACACACACACACACACACACACACACACACACACACACACAUGCGGAUACGCAAAUAACGAAUGUCUAACGAUGAUCUAAGCGUGUAUACAUAUGAAUUCGUGUUAAUAGGAUCAAAGAUCUUGUACAGUCUACAUCAGAUAUUUGCAAUGUUGUGUGAGACUUUGUAAGAAUAUUAUCGAUUUAUAUGAACACUAUAAGGUAUCUACGAUUUGUAACGGAUGUCUUUGCACGUUUCAAUGAGAGUAUAUACCUAGCGAAUCGCUGUGAACAAGACUGCAAAAUCUGUCCAUUUAAACGUUUUUUCUAACGGCUCGGGCACCGCUCGAAGUUCCCCGGAAUCUCCCUCGCUCGUGUAUACAUUGCAUUUAGCAGUGACAAGGAUCGUUAAGAGCGAAAAAAUAUACAUACGUAUACUUACGCUUGUAAUAUAAAAAUCCGGUUAUUUACGAAACGUUCACCACGUGAACUAUCUAGCAGUACUUGGUGUUGUUUAUAGUUAGCAACCACUGCGAAUAAUAUGUAUUACCGGCGCGUUAAUGAUAUACCAGCGAAAAUAUACUCCGCACGAUUUCGCGAUAGACCUUAUCCGUCUAUUAUUGCUUUCUCAACGGUCGAUCGUUAUGAAUGCAAAAAUUAAUCGAGGCAGCGAUCAUGUAAUUUCCUCUUAGAAUGGAAACGCAAAAAUUCUUUCACAUUAACUCAACGACAAUUUUAAUCAUGUAACUUUUCAAACCAUGAAAACGUGGAACUUUUCCUUUUUUUUUUUUUUUAACUGAUGAAACGUGACAAAACGGAAAUGUAGUGAAAAUCCAAAUAUUUUUCAGCUAAAUAUCAUUCAUUCGUAUACAUACAUACAUAUGUAUAUGUAUGUAUAAUAUAGGCUUUUCCGCAAGGAAACCUAUCAACUUCUGCAAUAUAUUCUAGAGGUCAUUCCAGACAAGAAAGUUUAGAUAUACUAUGGAUCAGUUCAAUUUAGUUUUCGAGAUAUAGACAAUAGGUCUGUUCGUUUUCGCUGCACCGCUGAACUAGUGCAAUAAGUUGAAGUGAGAAAACAUAUACUUGUCUCGCUUCAACUUAUUGCACUAGUUCAACGGUGCAGCGGAAACGAACAAACCUAAUUUUAGUAAGAUUUUAGGUGAAAUGUUCAUCAAUAGAAUAAGCAAAAAAAUAUCAGAUAUUUAUAACUUUUAUUAGAAGAAUAUUAUUCUUCUAAUUAUUUGUUAAUGUUGUCCAUCUUCGGCUUGCGAACAUGCUGCUGCUUGUUGUAUCUUAGAUUUCCGCCAAUUUGCCUAAGUUCAAGUUGCGCCCGAAUACUAUCUGGCCCCUGUAACUUUAUCAAAUCCUUGGUAUUCAUGAGAUAGUUAGUUUUCAUGACUCUAUUAAAUCUUUUUAUAAAAUAUAUGUAAUACAAUGCCCCAAUCCAAGAUAUUAAUUAGUCAGUUCGGAUCGUCUCUCUCUCUCUCUCUCUCUCUCUCUCUCUCUCUCUCUUUCUCUCUCUCUGAAAAAGUAAAUUGAAAUGUUUACAAAAUGUCGGGAACAAAUCCAUGAAGGAUACGACAUUAACUCAGAAGCCAGUAUUUCUCCACAACGCGAAAGCCUAAAAUAUAUUAAUUAAUCAAUCAAUCUGAGUUUAGCGAUUUUAUUUUACACGCAUAUUUAACUACGUAAUCGCUCAGCGAUUCGUGGAAAGUUCACGCGGAAUUAAGAUGAGCGAAAGUGAAAAAUGCCACUCAAAAUUGCAUGAUCGCUACCUUAAUGAGAAACGAGUGUGUCGAGAUCAAUAACGUACUUCAAUAACGUACAUUUUGUGUCUGCGAAUACAAUACUCGAUAAAACGUUGAGAUUUCCGCAGAACCUUAGCUGUUUCUUCGGUCAGUUCCAUGUUUUCAUCGUGCCAUUGAAACGGUCCUCCCCGAAUCGGAUCCUGAGACGUUCCGUAAUCCUUAGUAUUUAUUUCGUUAAGCUGUUACAUGCGUGCGUGCGCAUUUACAUUCGCGAAUCAGUACGCCUUCUUCGUACUCAAUGUGAUCGCUGUUGAUUAUAUGUUAGAAAUACUUUUGAAUGUAAAAUGUGUGUGUGUGUAAUUUUUCAGCACGUAUUCUUAGGACAGGUUUGACCGAAGUUGGAAAAUAAUUCGUUACUUAUAACGUCGCGUUACGAGUUACUUUUUUAAAGUGAUGACUUUAAUAGCAUUUAUUCUUUCUUGCCGGUCAAGACAACAGGAAUGUAAUUAUUUUUUUUUUUAAGUAGCGAUAAAGUGAACAUCGUUAUUUUCAUCGUUACUUUCGCAAGAAGAAUGAGAAUGUGUAUGAGAUGACUGCAGCGUAAAGAAAAUUUUCAAAACUGU